rnacentral:rRNA from 1 species
CCUACGGGAGGCAGCAGUAGGGAAUCUUGCACAAUGGGCGCAAGCCUGAUGCAGCGAUGCCGCGUGAGGGAUGAAGGCCUUCGGGUCGUAAACCUCUUUCAGUAGGGAAGAAGCCACCCAUCAAGGUGGUGACGGUACCUACAGAAGAAGCCCCGGCUAACUACGUGCCAGCAGCCGCGGUAAAACGUAGGGGGCGAGCGUUGCCCGGAUUCACUGGGCGUAAAGCGGGUGUAGGCGGUUCUCUAAGUCGGAUGUGAAAUCCUACGGCCUAACCGUGGAAUUGCAUCCGAUACUGGGGAACUUGAGGACGGUAGAGGCCGGUGGAAUUCCCGGUGUACCGGUGAAAUGGACAGAUAUCGGGAGGAACACCAGUGGCGAAGGCGGCCGGCUGGGCCGAUCCUGACGCUGAGACCCGAAAGCCAGGGUAGCGAACCGGAUUA